AGACCCAGACCUGAGAUUUUCAGGUGUUUUCAUUUGGUGAUCAGGACGGAACACAGAGGACGCACCAUGGAGUUUGGGCUAAGCUGGGUUUUUCUUGUUGCUCUUUUAAAAGGUGUCCAGUGUGAGGUGCAGCUGGUGGAGUCUGGGGGAGGCUUGGUACAGCCUGAGGGGUCCCUGAAACUCUCCUGUGCAGUCUCUGGAUUCACCUUCAGUGACUACUACAUGCACUGGGUCCGCCAGGCUCCAGGGAAGGGGCUGGAGUGGGUCUCACGUAUUAGUAGUGGUAGCGGUGGUAGCACAUGGUACCCAGACUCUGUGAAGGGCCGAUUCACCAUCUCCAGAGACAACGCCCAGAACACGCUGUAUCUGCAAAUGAACAGCCUGAGAGCUGAGGACACGGCUGUGUAUUACUGUGCGAGAGACACAUUGAGGAGAAGUCAGUGUGAGCCCAGACACAAACCUCCCUGCAGAAACGUUCAGGGGAAAUCAGCGGCAGGGGGCGCUCAGGACCCACUGAUCAGAGUCAACCCAGAGGCAGGUGCAAUGGAGGUUGA